CUGGAGGCAAAUAUCAGAGCAUCCUACAAGACCUCAACUUCACCUGAACAGAUGUGUGUCUGAACUCCACAUAUGUCUAUACCCCACUGUUGUUGCUACAUCUGUGAGCUCUGCAGCUAUAUGGUUGAAUCAGGGCCAGAGAAACGGUUAGGCGAACUGGGCAUUCACCUAGGGCACCCGCCUGCUGGGGGCGCCCACAGGGAUGUUUCCUGGUGAACUUCUUGCCCCUGUCUGGGGCCGCAACGCUGGGCGAGCAGCUCUUGAGCCGCC